rnacentral:rRNA from 1 species
UACGUAGGGUGCAAGCGUUGUCCGGAUUUAUUGGGCGUAAAGAGCUCGUAGGCGGUUAGUCACGUCGGAUGUGAAAACCCGGAGCUUAACUCCGGGCCUGCAUUCGAUACGGGCUGACUAGAGUGUUGUAGGGGAGACUGGAACUCCUGGUGUGGCGGUGAAAUGCGCAGAUAUCAGGAAGAACACCGGUGGCGAAGGCGGGUCUCUGGGCAACUACUGACGCUGAGAGACGAAAGCGUGGGGAGCAAACAGG